UGCAGUCGAGCGGGGGAAGGUAGCUUGCUACUGGACCUAGCGGCGGACGGGUGAGUAAUGCUUAGGAAUCUGCCUAUUAGUGGGGGACGACAUCUCGAAAGGGAUGCUAAUACCGCGUACGUCCUACGGGAGAAAGCAGGGGAUCUUCGGACCUUGCGCUAAUAGAUGAGCCUAAGUCGGAUUAGCUAGUUGGUGGGGUAAAGGCCUACCAAGGCGACGAUCUGUAGCGGGUCUGAGAGGAUGAUCCGCCACACUGGGACUGAGACACGGCCCAGACUCCUACGGGAGGCAGCAGUGGGGAAUAUUGGACAAUGGGGGGAACCCUGAUCCAGCCAUGCCGCGUGUGUGAAGAAGGCCUUAUGGUUGUAAAGCACUUUAAGCGAGGAGGAGGCUACUCUAGUUAAUACCUAGGGAUAGUGGACGUUACUCGCAGAAUAAGCACCGGCUAACUCUGUGCCAGCAGCCGCGGUAAUACAGAGGGUGCGAGCGUUAAUCGGAUUUACUGGGCGUAAAGCGUGCGUAGGCGGCUUAUUAAGUCGGAUGUGAAAUCCCCGAGCUUAACUUGGGGAAUUGCAUUCGAUACUGGUGAGCUAGAGUAUGGGAGAGGAUGGGUAGAAUUCCAGGUGUAGUCGCUGAAAUGCGUAGAGAUCUGGAGGAAUACCUGAUGGAGAAGGCAGGCAUCUGGCCUAAUACUGACGCUGAGUACGAC
rnacentral:rRNA from 1 species